rnacentral:rRNA from 1 species
GUAGGGAAUCUUCCACAAUGGACGAAAGUCUGAUGGAGCAACGCCGCGUGAGUGAAGAAGGUUCUCGGAUCGUAAAACUCUGUUGUGAGGGAAGAACAAGUGCCGGAGUAACUGCCGGUACCUUGACGGUACCUCAUUAGAAAGCCACGGCUAACUACGUGCCAGCAGCCGCGGUAAUACGUAGGUGGCAAGCGUUGUCCGGAAUCAUUGGGCGUAAAGCGCGCGCAGGCGGUCCCUUAAGUCUGAUGUGAAAGCCCACGGCUCAACCGUGGAGGGUCAUUGGAAACUGGGGGACUUGAGUGCAGAAGAGGAAAGCGGAAUUCCAAGUGUAGCGGUGAAAUGCGUAGAGAUUUGGAGGAACACCAGUGGCGAAGGCGGCUUUCUGGUCUGUAACUGACGCUGAGGCGCGAAAGCGUGGGGAGCAAACAGGAUUAGAUACCCUGGUAGUCC